GGUGGUUGUGGUACAUGCCUUUAAUCCCAGC
rnacentral:piRNA from 1 species